UCAGGUUACUCUUUUGGCAUGAAGAGAGGCAUGAUAGGAAGAAGGCUGUCCCUUGGUAGGAGAAGCCAUAUUUAACAUCUAGACUUAUUCCAUGUGGCAGCCAUUUUAAAGCACAGAGAAUUAUGGGAAUGAAGCUACUGUUUUACGUAGCAGCCAUCUUGAGGCAAGGGAAUCUAACACCACCUUCCUUUGAGAAGUCAGGCAGCACUAGGUCUCAGUCCAAGGCAUGAAGGUCCACGAAGGCUCUGCUUUCUGAUACCCAUAGGCCAUCAGUGGGGCGACCAAGUAUUCCAUGUGAUGGCUCUGGAGAGAGACAGCUCUGCAUCCACAUGAAAGUGCACAGCGUAGAGCUGGAAGACGUUGCUGUGCUCUGGGGGGCUGCUUCAGGUCUGACACCUAACAGGUGGCAUGGCGCCUUGCAGAGGUGAGCUGGCCUGUAAUGGUUCUCUUCCCUUCCUGCGCUAGUGAAAGAGGAAGAGGAUGAGAGCAGCGUGUAAAGGUGGUUGUAUCAGGGAUGGAGAUGAGUGAGCUAACCACACUGAGCUCCCCAAACAAUGAAACUGGAGGCAAGCGCUGGGAAGAGGGGGUAGGAGCAAAGUGCAUCGCAUGUACGUAUAAGGCUGCUAAAAUGAAAUGUAUUCAUCUGUAAAAGUAAAACCAAUUAGAAAAAGAGAUUUAAA